CGCAAAUGGCACUCUAUGGUAUUCCGUAGAGUACGUCUGUUUGAGCGUCGCGAACAUCUCCAUAAUUAGUUUUUUUUAAAUUGAUUGUGGGUUUUGAGGUUGUCAUAUAAGCAAUGACUCCCUUUAAAAUAAUUAGUGAUGACCUUAUGAAUGGGUUAAUACUGUGUGUUAUAAUGGAUUACAUCCAUCACCAGUCAGAGAGUAAUCUCGCCUUAGUAAUUUGUAGUGAUUGCUUCUAACUGCCAUUGGCAAACAAACUGAUCAAAUCGACCUCAAAUCAGAUGGGAUUACCCGCUGAACUUAA
rnacentral:misc_RNA from 1 species